AAAGAUAGAGUUCUCCGAGCCAUAAUACCUAAUACUGUUGUGAUGGUGCUAUGGCCGUAUAGGGUUAAUCGGGAAACGGGUUAGCCUCCCUUUGGAAAGGAGAGCGCAUUAUUCCGCC
rnacentral:ncRNA from 2 species